CUAACACUGUAGUUCUCCUCCAAGAUCAUUCCUAUUAUGGCCUGGAUCAUUGCUUUGGUUCAAGUAGAGAUAUGACAUACUAGCAUAAGGAAUUCUCAUCAGAAAAACUAACAACACUGAGACCAAAACUCACAGUGAAGGACUGCUAACUCUUCUUGGACCAGACACAUAGGCAGAACCAAGCCCCUACAUCUCUUUAACUCUGCUUUGCUCUUUCAUCAUCACUUAACGGGGAAUUCAAGAAAACUGAAAACCUUCCCCAGAUGUUUCUAAAAUAAACACCUGGAUAUCAGCAUGACAACAGGGGGCGUUUCCAUGGUGUGGACAAAGUCAUCUAAGUAUAAAAGCCGUAUACCACCUUUAGCAGUGCAAUACCUUCAUAGACUUAUCACGGUAAUCAAAAGUGCAGUUCCGAAAAUAUUUUUGCUUGUGAGCACACCCAAGCCAUUUUGUUUUCCUGCCUGUUAUUUUCCCAAAGUCCUUCCUUCUCCCACUGCCUGCCCAGCAAUCAGUACAAUUUGGCAGCAUGGAGAAAAAAAGAAAAG
rnacentral:lncRNA from 1 species